rnacentral:rRNA from 1 species
GUGGGGAAUAUUGGGCAAUGGGCGCAAGCCUGACCCAGCAACGCCGCGUGAAGGAAGAAGGCUUUCGGGUUGUAAACUUCUUUUACCAGGGACGAAACAAAUGACGGUACCUGGUGAAUAAGCCACGGCUAACUACGUGCCAGCAGCCGCGGUAAUACGUAGGUGGCGAGCGUUAUCCGGAUUUAUUGGGUGUAAUGGGCGUGUAGGCGGGACAGCAAGUCAGAUGUGAAAACCAGAGGCUCAACCUCUGGCCUGCAUUUGAAACUGUUGUUCUUGAGUGUCGGAGAGGUAAUCGGAAUUCCGUGUGUAGCGGUGAAAUGCGUAGAUAUACGGAGGAACACCAGUGGCGAAGGCGGAUUACUGGACGAUAACUGACGCUGAGGCGCGAAAGCGUGGGGAGCAAACAGGAUUAGAAACCCGAGUAGUCC